GAUGAAGAACGCAGCAAAAUGCGAUAAGUAAUGUGAAUUGCAGAAUUCAGUGAAUCAUCGAAUCUUUGAACGCACAUUGCGCCCGCCAGUAUUCUGGCGGGCAUGCCUGUUCGAGCGUCAUUUCAACCCUCAAGCACAGCUUGGUGUUGGGACUCGCGUUAAUUCGCGUUCCCCAAAUUGAUUGGCGGUCACGUCGAGCUUCCAUAGCGUAGUAGUAAAACCCUCGUUACUGGUAAUCGUCGCGGCCACGCCGUUAAACCCCAACUUCUGAAUGUUGACCUCGGAUCAGGAAGGAAUACCCGCUGAACUUAAGCAUAUCAAUAAGCGGAGGA
rnacentral:misc_RNA from 1 species